GGUCCGCAGCGCCGGCCGCCAUCGAUCCAUUGCUCGAUCGUGCCCUUGUUAUGCGCUAGAUCGAUGCAACCAACCACCCCGGCUCUCUGGCGCGCGACGGGAUCGAGUAGGAAACCCUAGCCAGCCAGCCAGCAAGCUGCGGAAUGUUCCGGCGCUGCACGUUCUCCGCUCGUCGCUGCCAAACCGCGGGCCCAACACGUGCGUGCCCGGCUACCUCCCCCCAACCCCCCAGCCUAUAUAUCCGGCCUCCCAACAUCCGACUCUCCCCACCCCUCCCAUCUCCCCCAUCGAUCUCGCAAGGAACGCCAGCGUCCGUGCCGCGUGCGGUGGCCGCGGCGGCGGUGUGCGUUGAAGGCGCGCUGCGCGGCUGCUUAGCUCGGCAAGGACCGGUUCGGGCGCCGGGCGGUGACAGAAGAGAGUGAGCACACGGCCGGCCGUUACGGCACCGCCCGGGUGUGCCGUCGCGGCCGCGUGCUCACUGCUCUUCCUGUCAUCCACUCUCCCGCUUCCCUUCCGCCUUCGCCGUGGCUGGCUGCGCGCGCCAGCACACCGCCGCCGUGUCCACAGCACAGGCCGGCCGUCGUUUUUGCGUCAUCGUAUGCCGUACAACUACCCCGCAAUUCUGUGUUCAUGCCGCUCUCUGCAAGUUUCCAUUUCUGGGAGGCUAGAGCGUACGGCGCCGCGCGCGUGGGUACGCUUUCCCGCACGGAUUCCCUCCCUUUUUCCCUCGGUACGAAGAUGCUCCCUUUUGCUUUGAUAAAUUCUCUCAUCUUUUCCAAGGGAUUUUACCGUUACCCGCUGCUGCUCACUCCGGCCUUGGGAAGGUAAAAAGGCAUUUACUGCGGCGCCGCUGAUUGAUUCAGCUUUGGCUGGUUCCAAGAAUCUGGAUCUUGGAGAAACCAGAUCAACCUACUGAGAAUAGGCCGGCGAUGGAAGAUGUAGAGGCAAAUGCGCGCAUGGAUCGAUAACUCAGAUCUGCUUACCACUUGACUCUUUGCUUGCCAGAUCCUGAAGUAAUGCACCCAUUUCGAGUGGAUGGAUGAAUAUGUUGAGAUUAUUCAGUUCGAGGGCUACAUUGAUUCGAGCGGGGCUGCAACCUAGGAGCUUAAUUUCGGUGGGGUACCGCAGAUGGAGAAUUUGGGAGCUCGGACAGAGGGACAGGCAGAGUCGUGCCAAUGGCGAGGCAUGCGCGCAAUGCUGAACUGCACUUGGAGUCUGAACUGAUCGGGGAACUAAAGAAGAUCAAGAAAAAUCUAAUGGAGAUGAUCGAUUUGCAGAAGCAAGCAAAUUUCAUGGAAGGAGGGUUUUAUUGUUGUAUCAAUGCUCUGUUUUUGUUUUACUUGUUGUUCAUCCAUCAUUAGAGGGGGCAUUUAGGUCUGUCAGGGCAUAGGGUGCGAUUUGUGUGUCAUGCCAAGUUCAUGUAAUUGAAUCGAAGCAAGCCCGUGUGCGACAUUUUUCAUGUUAUUCGCAGGGAAUAUUCAAUGUUCAUGCUCUGGUCUUCUUCUUGA